rnacentral:rRNA from 1 species
AUUGAACGCUGGCGGAAUGCUUUACACAUGCAAGUCGAACGGUAUAGGGGGCAACCCCUCGAGAGUGGCGAACGGGUGAGUAAUAUAUCGGAACGUGCCCAGUCGUGGGGGAUAACGUAGCGAAAGAUAUGCUAAUACCGCAUACGAUCGAAGGAUGAAAGCGGGGGAUCGCAAUACCUCGCGCGAUUGAAGAGGGAGAUAUCAGAUUAGUUAGAUGGUGGGGUAAAGGCUAACCAAGCCAACGAUCUGUAGCUGGUCUGAGAGGAUGACCAGCCGCACUGGAACUGAGACACGAUCCAGACUCCUACGGGAGGCAGCAGUGGGGAAUUUUGGACAAUGGACGCAAGUCUGAUCCAGCCAUUCCGCGUGCAGGAUGAAGGCCCUCGGGUUGUAAACUGCUUUUGUACGGAACGAAAAGGUCUCUCUUAAUACGGGGGACUCAUGACGGUACCGUAAGAAUAAGCACCGGCUAACUACGUGCCAGCAGCCGCCGUAA